GGAAGGGAGAUGCCUCGUGGGGCGGGAAAAUGGCGGCUGCGCCUUUAAGUGGGAGGGGUAGAAAGGUGGAUGUUCUGGGCUCAGAUAGCCUCUCAGGCAGGUAGCAUGCGUAAGGCGCUGCCUCUGCUGUUUCUGUGUGUGAAGUAGUAGUCCUCAGAAAUAGUGCUUUGGGAAACUGGCAGAAGCUCUGGUGUUUAGUGUUUCAGUCUGAAGUUAAGAAGUUAGUGAGAGGGACCAGAAAACAAAAGAGCUAACCAACUCCACUCACUAAGUUAAGUCACAUGAAGAGUAUUACUUCUUUGCCAGAAGAAAAGAAUAUAUGUAUUUUAACAAUCUUAUUACACAAUUUAAAAGGAAUAAGACAUUUAAAGGGUUAAUAACUCCUUUCACUAAAUGCAUGCAGGGCUUUAAGAGCCCACUCCUGUGUGAGACCCAUUGCUUUUUGGGAACUUCAAGCUCAGAUUCAUCUGCUUCCCACCAGACCUUACGAAUCCUAAUGGGAUUAUCUUUGUCAAACGUGACCUAUUGUCAUGCUAUCUUACCAUUGCUCCACACUCUGCUUUAUUUAUUUAUUUAUUUAUUUAUUUAUUUAUGUGUUUUGCUUUGUUUUCUGUGGCUUUGGUUUGCCAGUUCUGAAAUUUGGGAUUUUUUUUUAAAAUUUUUAUUUUUUUUUCCCCUGGAGUGUUUAGAAAUGCUUGUCUAAGAAAGUACUACUAAUGCUAUUCUCACUUACUCUACUACGUAGCCAAAUCCAGGCCAGCACUGUGAACUGUUUUCUUUUUACUGUCACACACUGGCAAUGUAGUGUGAGAUAGCUGACACUGAGGAUGUUUCUCCCUUUUGCUUUAGGUUUUUGGUAUUCUUUUUCUCAACAACAACAGCAUCUGGAAGCAAAGCAAGGGAUUUACUUAAGGCACAUUUGAGUUAGGCAGGGUAGUGCAAACACUGUCAUUUCUACUAAUGUUUUCCUCCAGAUUUUAAAACCGUGAAAAACAUUCCAUAUUUUAGAUAGGGAAACAGUGCCAGAAGAAAUUGACUUGUCAUUUGAUAAGUCUUAUGAUUAGUGUAAUAAAUUAAAUGGGUUGGGAUUUUUGCAAAUGAGGAAUCAGCUUUUGAUUGCUCAGUAAUUGACUAGAGUAACCAUCCGCCAAUAGCUGAUGGUUCAUUUCAUUUAAGUGAAUGAAGCUGCUUUAUGAGCAAAAUAUGCUGGCCAGUGGUGAGUCUGUGCUACAGACAAGUAGUGAAAUAGAAGUUCCUUCUGCAAUAAAGCCAGUAACACUUUUCGUCACAAGGUGGUAGCAGAUGUGGAAGUGCAUGCUACAUGGAGGAGGAAGCAGAAAGAACAGAAUCUUCAACUGAGAGACAUUUUCUCAGACAUAUACUUGUUCUGAGGGAUCUCAUCCUCUUCAUCUAAGAAAGUGAGCACUCUGCAUAAAAUCUUCUACUUCAGAGUUUGUGCUUCUUCAUGGUCACCAUCUUUCUUUAAAGAAUCUGAAGAGGAGAGUGGAAAAACUGGGUAGUAUUCAGCAACAGAGAAGUCAGACAUAGCUAGAAAGCUGGUAUUUCCACCUUUUGAUCCCGGAGCUAUCCAUGGUUAUCACUUUCUGUUGUUUGUCUAUUGCCUGUCCUUAGCAGUUCAUAAUUCUGAUGGUGCUGUUGGGCCAAGUGAAAUUGCUAAGAGUUUGAGCUAUGAGAAUAAACCAGCUGUGCUCAUAUGUACAUUCCUAUCAGAUGUACUGCACAGAGUUCCUACAGCAGAGCAAAGGAAAGCUGCACAUUAAUCUUUGUGAGCGUCUGUAGUAGGAACAGAAAUUCAGCUUCCUCAUCCUUGUACAAGGAAUAAAUUUUUAGAUGUAAACUUUAAGGCACUAGGAAGGGAAUUAUAUAAUGAGUCAAUUCAGGAAAAAAAGAAAAAAAAAAAGGUUUAGCAGGCUGCACACAUGCCUAGAAAACCUUUGAGAAAGGUCAGUUUGCACAGGCACUUCCAAGUGAGUGCUAACUGUGUAAAUCGUAUUGCAGAUAGUAUUUUUUUUUGUCUAAGACUACAUUUUAGAGCUGCAGAUCAAACAACUGCAGGCCUAAUGGCAGAAUUUUUAUUUCCAGGUUCAAUUUUUAGCAUUGCAGGGUCACAUGAUAUUUUGAAAAAGAAACACAUAGGAAUGGAUCUAGUCUUAAAAUUGUCGCUUGCAGAAAAACAUUGUGAAAGAUGUAGUUGCACACUGAAGUGGUGAAUUUUGAAAGAGGUGGCCCAUUUCAAAUUUAGAGCUGUGUCUUUUAGGCAGAAGAAUCCUAGGACUAAAGGCUAUGGUGCAGUUGUAUCUUUUUGAAAAAUAAAGUCUGGCUUU
rnacentral:lncRNA from 7 species